rnacentral:rRNA from 1 species
AGCAGCCGCGGUAAUUCCAGCUCCAAUAGCGUAUAUUAAAGUUGUUGCAGUUAAAAAGCUCGUAGUUGAAUUUCGGGAUUGACACAUCGGUCGUGCCUUAAGGGGUAUGAACUGGUGUAGUCAAUUUCUCACCCUCUGGAGAACCGCGAUGCCCUUAAUUGGGUGUCGCGGGGAACCAGGACCUUUACUUUGAAAAAAUUAGAGUGUUUAAAGCAGGCAUUUUGCUUGAAUACAUUAGCAUGGAAUAAUAAAAUAGGACGGCAUGAUUCUAUUUUGUUGGUUUCUAGGAUCACCGUAAUGAUUAAUAGGGAUAGUUGGGGGCAUUAGUAUUCAAUUGUCAGAGGUGAAAUUCUUGGAUUUAUUGAAGACUAACUACUGCGAAAGCAUUUGCCAAGGAUGUUUUCAUUAAUCAAGAACGAAAGUUAGGGGAUCGAAGACGAUCAGAUACCGUCGUAGUCUUAACCAUAAACUAUGCCGACUAGGGAUCGGAUGAUGUUAAUUUUUAAUGACUCAUUCGGCG